rnacentral:antisense_RNA from 1 species
GCACGGCAUGGCCCCCAGUCCUGGCACCUGGAGCUGUGCGGGCGUCGCUGGGGGCUUGGUUGCCCGCGGGCGCGGAGCUGCGGGCGAAGCCGGAGCAGGGGCGGACGCGGAAGCCGGAGCCCGCCAGGCACUCGAGCCGCGCGCCUGCAGCCGCUGGAGCCGGAAUCCUGCCGGCUCGGGUUGAUUUGUAAACAAUGGGUGACGUCACGCCGGGCCCUACCACCGCGCCGGGGCAGGGGUGACGCGCGAGCAAGCACGGGGGCGCAGGGCGGCGCGGGCGGCGACCGAAGCCGUCCCGCGCCUGUGUUCGUUGUCCCUCCAGGAGGGGGUCCGGGGCGUGGGGACUGAUUUCCGACCGCCCGGGCCCAACGAGCCGUGCUGAACGUGGCGCCUCGGAGGAGGCUGAGAUUCCUGCAGGUAGACACCAAGGAUCUCCUCAGAGCCAGCGCUGAUCUCAUCCACAGAGGGAUCACAUGACCUCAUCUGGGAAAAUAUAAACCCUACCCACCUGCCUGCCCAUUUGGAAAUGCAGACUGGAGGACGCUAAGUUCAUUCUUACCUAUGUACUAACAAGUACACAAGAAGAUGCUCAAUGUCAUUAGUCCUUGGGGAAAUGCAAAUUAGAUUAUAAUGAGAUUCCAGUGUACACCCACUAGAAGGCUAUUAAAAAGGACAAUACCAACUGUUGGCAACAAUGUGGAGAAAUGGAACCCCUCCUACAUUUCUGAUGAGAAUGUAAAAUGGUGCAGAUACUUUGGAAAACAGUUUGGCAAUUUAUUAAAAGAUUAAAUAAGCAUAAACUUA